UGGGGUAUAGCUCAGGGCUAGAGAUGUGCUUAGCACGCACGAGGUUCUGGGUUCAAUCCCCAGCACCUCCA
rnacentral:tRNA from 1 species